rnacentral:tRNA from 1 species
GCCAACGUAGCUCAGUUGGUAGAGCAACGGUUUCGUAAACCGUCGGCCGGGGGUUCGAGUCCCCCCGUUGGCU